rnacentral:rRNA from 1 species
UGGGGAAUUUUGGACAAUGGGCGAAAGCCUGAUCCAGCAAUGCCGCGUGUGUGAAGAAGGCCUUCGGGUUGUAAAGCACUUUUGUCCGGAAAGAAAUCCUUGGCUCUAAUACAGUCGGGGGAUGACGGUACCGGAAGAAUAAGCACCGGCUAACUACGUGCCAGCAGCCGCGGUAAUACGUAGGGUGCAAGCGUUAAUCGGAAUUACUGGGCGUAAAGCGUGCGCAGGCGGUUUGCUAAGACCGAUGUGAAAUCCCCGGGCUCAACCUGGGAACUGCAUUGGUGACUGGCAGGCUAGAGUAUGGCAGAGGGGGGUAGAAUUCCACGUGUAGCAGUGAAAUGCGUAGAGAUGUGGAGGAAUACCGAUGGCGAAGGCAGCCCCCUGGGCCAAUACUGACGCUCAUGCACGAAAGCGUGGGGAGCAAACAGGAUUAGAUACCCUGGUAGUCCACGCCCUAAACGAUGUCAACUAGGUUGUUGGGGAUUCAUUUCCUUAGUAACGUAGCUAACGCGUGAAGUUGACCGCCUGGGGAGUACGGUCGCAAGAUUAAAACUCAAAUGAAUUGACGGGGUCAUAGCUGUUUCCU